rnacentral:rRNA from 1 species
UUGAUCAUGGCUCAGGAUGAACGCUGGCGGCGUGCUUAACACAUGCAAGUCGAACGAAGCAUUUAGCGGGACAUUUCGGAUGGGAGUUAAAAUGACUGAGUGGCGGACGGGUGAGUAACGCGUGGAUAACCUACCAUAUACAGGGGGACAACAGUUGGAAACGACUGCUAAUACCGCAUAAGCGCACAGUGCCGCAUGGCACGGUGUGAAAAACUCCGGUGGUAUAUGAUGGAUCCGCGUCUGAUUAGCUAGUUGGUGAGGUAACGGCCCACCAAGGCAACGAUCAGUAGCCGACCUGAGAGGGUGACCGGCCACAUUGGGACUGAGACACGGCCCAAACUCCUACGGGAGGCAGCAGUGGGGAAUAUUGCACAAUGGGCGAAAGCCUGAUGCCAGCGACGCCGCGUGAGCGAAGAAGUAUUUCGGUAUGUAAAGCUCUAUCAGCAGGGAAGAAAAUGACGGUACCUGACUAAGAAGCCCCGGCUAACUACGUGCCAGCCGCCGC